UCUUCCUAUCCUGGUCCUGCAUAAGGGACCAAGGGUGAGGCUGCUCGCCUAUUAAAAGGGAACGUGAGCUGGGUUUAGACCGUCGUGAGACAGGUCGGACUUUAUCUGCUGGGAGUGUUAGCUGCCUGAGGGGAAAGGGUCCCUAGUACGAGAGGAACGGGACGCUGUAGCCUCUAGUUAACCGGUUGUCUGAUAAGGCAGUCGCCGGGCAGCCACGCUAUUGUGGAUAAGAGCUGAAAGCAUCUAAGCUCGAAGCCUCUCCUGAAAAGAGGCAGCCAUUCCAGUUUCACUGGACAAAGGCACCCAUAAAAGAUGGGUUUGAUGGAACCGGGGUGUAAGCUAGAAGACUUCGGUCGACUAGCUCAGCCCGCGGUCACCAACCGCCUAAGUUGUCAAUCAA
rnacentral:rRNA from 1 species